AUUGAACGCUGGCGGAAUGCUUUACACAUGCAAGUCGAACGGUAGAGGGGGCAACCCCUCGAGAGUGGCGAACGGGUGAGUAAUAUAUCGGAACGUGCCCAGUCGUGGGGGAUAACGUAGCGAAAGUUACGCUAAUACCGCAUACGAUCCAAGGAUGAAAGCGGGGGAUCGCAAGACCUCGCGCGAUUGGAGCGGCCGAUAUCAGAUUAGGUAGUUGGUGGGGUAAAGGUUCACCAAGCCAACGAUCUGUAGCUGGUCUGAGAGGACGACCCGCCAAACUGGAACUGGGACACGGUCCAGACUCCUACGGGAGGCAGCAGUGGGGAAUUUUGGACAAUGGACGCAAGUCUGAUCCAGCCAUUCCGCGUGCAGGAUGAAGGCCCUCGGGUUGUAAACUGCUUUUGUACGGAACGAAAAGGUCUCUCUUAAUACGGGGGGCUCAUGACGGUACCGUAAGAAUAAGCACCGGCUAACUACGUGCCAGCCGCCGCGGUAA
rnacentral:rRNA from 1 species